UACGUAGGGCGCAAGCGUUGUCCGGAAUUACUGGGCGUAAAGGGCGCGUAGGCGGCUCGCUAAGUCGGGUGUGAAAACUCUGGGCUCAACCCAGAGCCUGCAUUCGAAACUGACGAGCUAGAGUUCUGGAGGGGAAAGCGGAAUUCCUGGUGUAGCGGUGAAAUGCGUAGAUAUCAGGAGGAACACCGGUGGCGAAGGCGGCUUUCUGGACAGAAACUGACGCUGAGGCGCGAAAGCUAGGGGAGCAAACAGG
rnacentral:rRNA from 1 species